GAUGAACGCUGGCGGCGUGCCUAAUACAUGCAAGUCGAGCGAACAGACGAGGAGCUUGCUCCUCUGACGUUAGCGGCGGACGGGUGAGUAACACGUGGAUAACCUACCUAUAAGACUGGGAUAACUUCGGGAAACCGGAGCUAAUACCGGAUAAUAUAUUGAACCGCAUGGUUCAAUAGUGAAAGACGGUUUUGCUGUCACUUAUUGAUGGAUCCGCGCCGCAUUAGCUAGUUGGUAAGGUAACGGCUUACCAAGGCAACGAUGCGUAGCCGACCUGAGAGGGUGAUCGGCCACACUGGAACUGAGACACGGUCCAGACUCCUACGGGAGGCAGCAGUAGGGAAUCUUCCGCAAAGGGCGAAAGCUUGACGGAGCAACGCCGCGUGAGUGAUGAAGGUCUUCGGAUCGUAAAACUCUGUUAUUAGGGAAGAACAAAUGUGUAAGUAACUAUGCACGUCUUGACGGUACCUAAUCAGAAAGCCACGGCUAACUACGUG
rnacentral:rRNA from 1 species